CGGAGGUGCGAGCGUUAAUCGGAAUUACUGGGCGUAAGCGCACGUAGGCGGUUGUUAAGCUAGAUGUGAAGCCCAGGGCUCAACCUUGGAAUUGCAUUUAGAACUAGCAGGCUAGAGUUUGAAGAGGUGGUAGAAUUUCCAGUGUAGCGGUGAAAUGCGUAGAUAUUGGAAGGAUAUCAGUGGCGAAGGCGGCACCUGGUCAAAACUGACGCUGAGGAGCGAAAGCGUGGGAGCAACAGGAUU
rnacentral:rRNA from 1 species